rnacentral:rRNA from 1 species
AACGAACGCUGGCGGCAUGCCUAACACAUGCAAGUCGAACGAGACCUUCGGGGCUAGUGGCGCACGGGUGCGUAACGCGUGGGAACCUGCCCUUAGGUUCGGAAUAACUCCCCGAAAGGGGUGCUAAUACCGGAUAAUGUCUUCGGACCAAAGAUUUAUCGCCUUUGGAUGGGCCCGCGUUGGAUUAGCUAGUUGGUAGGGUAAAAGCCUACCAAGGCGACGAUCCAUAGCUGGUCUGAGAGGAUGAUCAGCCACACUGGGACUGAGACACGGCCCAGACUCCUACGGGAGGCAGCAGUGGGGAAUAUUGGACAAUGGGCGAAAGCCUGAUCCAGCAAUGCCGCGUGAGUGAUGAGGCCUUAGGGUUGUAAAGCUCUUUUACCCGGGAUGAUAAUGACAGUACCGGGAGAAUAAGCUCCGGCUAACUCCGUG